rnacentral:lncRNA from 1 species
AUUUAGUGAGGCAUGGGUAUGAAUUAGUAUUAUCCUCCAAUGUGACAUAAGGUGCAAAGACCCCAGAAAUAAUAGUAAUAGUGGCAAAAAGAGGCUGGGAGCCAGAUUACAGAGACUGAACAAGCAGAGAGAUAAGGAAACAGGAAGGAAGCAAAGCUAAGAAGGAAAAAGUAGUGCUUAGGUCCAGCCAUAUGAACUCUGGUUCUCUGGCAGGACUUCUGUUAAAGAAGAGUAACUUUUAGGAAAAAAGCAAAACCCUAGUCCUGAAGAUGGUGAAGCCACGCAAGGGAUUCAGUCAGUAGCACAAAGAACAGUGGAGAGCCAACUUCAUCUACACUUGGCUUAUUCUGCACCCAUAAAAAUCAAUGAAUGGCCUGAUGAACCAAAUGAAAACAACGAAGCAUAUGAAGAUGAUGGAUAUCCAUCAAAAUACUCAGGUGCAAUGAAAAAUGAAACCGUGAUCAAAGAGAUAAGAACCCAGAGAGAUCAUGAUAUAGCAUAUGCUAUACCAAAAAGAUACAUCAAAUGGAAUCUAGGGAAUAUGGAUUUAUAAAGUUCAAUCCAAAAGUGCCCUGUAAUCCAUUCUCAUAUAUCACUACACUAUGUGAAACAAUAAAUGCAUUAUUUAAUCAGAAAAGUAUGGCUUCUAUUUUUUUUUUCAACCAAA